UGAAGUUGACUACGUGCUUCAGCCAACAUGUGUUUGUUUGUUCUUUCUCUUAACAGAUUGCCAAGAUAAAUUCAAGAUGCAUGGAUGUUGAUUGCAAGGUCAAGAAUGGCUGUUUUACCAGAUAAUUAGAAUGCCGUUUUCAAGUGUAAUGUUUCAAACAAUAUAGUUGAUUGAAUGGUCAAGAAUUUGGCUAGUACUAGAUGGUUUCACAUAUGUAAUAUUUGUAUCGUGUUCUUUGUAAUGCAAUACAUUCUUUUUAAUAUAUUAUGAGGAUUCCUGCU